rnacentral:rRNA from 1 species
GUGGGGAAUAUUGGACAAUGGGCGAAAGCCUGAUCCAGCCAUGCCGCGUGUGUGAAGAAGGUCUUCGGAUUGUAAAGCACUUUAAGUUGGGAGGAAGGGUAGUAACCUAAUACGUUGCUACUUUGACGUUACCGACAGAAUAAGCACCGGCUAACUUCGUGCCAGCAGCCGCGGUAAUACGAAGGGUGCAAGCGUUAAUCGGAAUUACUGGGCGUAAAGCGCGCGUAGGUGGUUCAGUAAGUUGGAAGUGAAAUCCCCGGGCUCAACCUGGGAACUGCUUUCAAAACUGCUGAGCUAGAGUACGGUAGAGGGUGGUGGAAUUUCCUGUGUAGCGGUGAAAUGCGUAGAUAUAGGAAGAAACACCAGUGGCGAAGGCGACCACCUGGACUGAUACUGACACUGAGGUGCGAAAGCGUGGGGAGCAAACAGGAUUAGAAACCCGUGUAGUCC